UCUUAGACCCAGCGUAUUCAAGGAAAAUAUUCAGCUUUGGAGAUCAAUCAUAUCUAAUAAACUGACUCAUUGGGUUAUAACUUUUUGUUGUUGUUGUUGGUCCAAUUCCAGGUUUAACCGGAGUGAUAAGAAGGCGUGUCCGUCCACAUGUGCAGACACACUAAAGUCAGGAGUUACUGUUCGGUGGUUGAUAGAGGACAGGAGUCUGAUUGGUCGAAAGGCGGGAAAGGAGAACCCAGAUAAGAGCGAGACAACCCUCGUGUCAUCACCAUAUGCAAAUAAGUAAAGGUCAUUAAAAUGCUGAGGGAAGGGAGUUAUUUGACAGAACUCUGGGGGACCGCUGGACAAAACGGAGACACCGAGCCUGCAGACAAAUAGAAAGGAAGGAAAGAUGACAGGGAAGGUGUUAAGUGAGUGUAAUUAAGCUGUGUGUUAACACCUACUUCAAGGGGACACGAAACAAGUGACCUUAAGGAACAAUCCGGAAAUUUCUCACACUAAGGUUCACAAGGUCUUAUAUUGUCUUCUGGACAGGAUAUCAUCAUAUACUGUAAGUUCAUUAUGGAGACACUACAGUAUAGAUGAUGUACUAUCCAGAGUGGCAUACCUCCUCCUGUGGGAUACCACACACACGCACAGUCUGUGAUAGAGAGAGGCGGUUAAACCGUUACCAUUACUGAGUUUAGUAAUGGUAAGGGUUCUUUUGCUUCUUCUCGCUGGCACCAACUAUCGAAAACACCAACUGGAAUGAACUUCAUAUGAAUAUUUUAUAAAUAUGUCAUAACAGCAUUGUAGUUCUAUCUAUUUGAUAUAAAUUCAUUUCUUAUUUAACGUAACAUUGCUUGAUGUGGAACUACACGCUGAAUCUUGUCCUUGUACAAUGACCAUAAAGGUAUUCAUAUUAGUAUAAGUGCAUGAAUUCAGUAAAUUCAUUUUUUUUAAAAAAGUCUAUUUUGUAUGCGGGCUGUGUUUAUGAUUAAAAUGUCUUGAAUUAACACAAUAUAGUGUGUCAGUAGUAACUACUUUCAGUGUAUAAAUGUAUUAUGUUGUGCCUUGGUGAAUUGCUAUAUUAAUUCGUCAAACAUGUAUCAUACACGACCAUUUCAUGUCAUCAGUUUUUGAGUUUUUUUGCAUUGGGUGCCUUGAGGAAGGAAUUGGCAUCCUUGACUGAGUACUGAUAAUAGCAAAUAUUAUGUGCUGAAUACUAUCAAUAAUGUACUAUGGCUCAAUAAACACAUCCACCUGAAUCAA